CCUUGAUGUUGCUGUCUUUCAUCAGCUCCUUCAGUACUGGUCACCUCAUCUGAUGAAUCUUGCUGGUGUGGCUAGAUUUCCUGGCAGCUGCCCAGAGGCCAUUAAUCCGUGACGGAAAAGAGGAGGACUUGGCAGUGAUUUGACUUGUACAUUGACAGAAGGCACAUGAACAACUGUUUAUUUCCAGAGUCUUCCUGGGAGUUUUUUUGAAGAAUAGAUAUUUUCCUGCAGAAGUCGUCUUAAGAUUUACCAACCAACUCCACUGUUGAUCCUUAUAUCUCUCUCUCUUUCCUCAAAUGAAGCAACUGUGAUAUCUGUGCAGUCAAGAUUUCUGUCUACGUAUGGGAUGCAAAGCUGUGUAAUGGUCUUUGACAAACACUACAGAAAGAAUAACACUUGGAGAAACUGUCGCUGGUUUGGUGGCCUUUAUUUCAACAGCUCUCUGAUAUCCUUCUGUGAAGACUGCUGCUGCAGUGGGGAGGACAGAGGGGACUUCUGGAGAAAAUGUCACCACUCAAAUGGAGACUUGAAGAGUUGCAAUCCUUUUACAGAAAAGGCCCAACGCAUGCAUAGAAAAAGACAAGAAGUAUUCCCUGUUAAGCAGAGCAAGAGCAAAGAAAUAAAGCGUUCUCUGAUUACCCUGUGAAAUUAAGAAACACUGCUCUUUCAAGUGUCAUGUUUUGGACAGUCUGGGAAUAAGUACAUUUGCAGCAAUCUUAAACAGCUGAAUUCAGCAGUUUUGAGUGGCCAAGUUCAGAUUUUCAUCCAGAAAGCCAGAAGGCUUUGGAGAACAGAAUAAACUGGUGACUGAGUACGGCAAAGAGCUCAAGCUAUGGAAGUUGCUGUGUCCCCUAACUCUUGGACACUGCAUCGCCUACUGAAAUUUGGAUACCCAAGUUGCUGACUCACCUCACACUGUGUGCUGGAAGAUUAAUUAUGCCAAGCUUUGGGCCACGAAGACUGUGGAGGAGAGAAAAGGAAAAGAAAGUGCCUACAGCACUCACCAAAGACGUGGGAAAAUCAGGUACCAGUCAGUACUGUGAUUUGUAGUUGGGAUUCAGCAGCAGGGAUGCUGAGAGAAGCUCUGAAACACCAUGCUAAGGCUGUGAACCUGCCGUGUGCCAUCGUCUGUCUGUAGAGGGGAUGCACUUUGCUAAAGUAUCGCUUACGCCUCCCAGGUGGUGUCUUUCUACCUGUCCUGGCACCUACCCAAUGCUACCUGUCAGUAUUUAACCUAGAGUGUUGUUCUUUAACUCUUGUGUCUCUGAAGCAUAGAUCGGUGUCCUGUAUAUGCCUCCAUAUCCCAAUUUUGUUCAGAUUUGCUAGGGAGAGUGCUCCCCAAGGUUUUUCUUUCACCUGGACACGUAUCCAAAAUUAAAGCCCAGUCUGAGGCUGGACCUCUACUUUAAAAUUCGGAACCAACAGGUUAUGGGAAAAUUAAAUGUAAAUUUAAUUCCAAAUGGAGCUGAACAGCUGGGUUCCUCUCAGACUGCUUCCUUCAUGCGGAGCUGGGGCUGAGCCUUCAGUGUCCAUAACAACAACUUUCCCUGCAAAUGGUGUCCUAAUUCUGUCUAAAACUGUCCUGGGGGACUUUGACAGCUCCUCUGAGUUCUCUUUGCUAUUUCUCUUCAUCUGUUCCCCUUUAUCCAAAAUUCUUUUCAUGAUGCCGGUCUGUUACAAAUAGUUUUGAUGGGUUAUUUGAAUAUUAGCUACCGUUUGAACAAUUUCAGCCCAGCACUUCAUGGGUUACUACUGAAGUUGUUGAAGUACUAAAAAAAAAAAUCAUUCAAGCUUUUAUAUACAUAUUCAGAGGAGAUUUUUAUCUUUAGAAUAUUCUAUAUAGCUCUCUAACACUUCACUGAUAUGAAUAAAAAAUCUGAUCACUGGGUUGUUUUUUGAUGGAUGGAGAAUGUAUUUCCAUUUCUUUUCCCUCCUUCCCUGUCCCCAGAUGUUCAGAAUUGGAGAAAUCCAGUUUUGUCAGAGCAUGCCCACGGCCUGAGGAUUGGGCUAUUGUCUUGGGAGUUAGAAAUCCCUGUCCCAGGGAGAAGCAUUUCAAAUUUCAGCAAAAUUUCAAAGCUGAUUCUCCAGUAUUCGUAAGGGUUCUUGAAGCACUGGCAUUCUAGGAUGGAUUUUUUCACUUCCACAUUUCCUCACGGUUUGUGUGUUAAGAAAUCCAGCGUGAUAAGAUAUUUUGAGAACACCUAUGAGAUCUGUACUAGGUGGAGACAAGGUGACAGAUGAAUCUUGCUGCCCCUACCCCUGGAGCUGUAAACAUACUAGUCUUGAGAUCAGGUGUGUUUUUAUAUGACUUGUGGAAACAGCAAUAGCUAAGGGGUUUUUAAGGCAGCUGAUGAAAACUAGCUGCUUUGAUAUUGUUGAAUCUCAGCAAUACACCUAAAGAGUUUUUUAUUUGCCUGAAAUUCUCUUGUGAUCUAUCCCAAAAAUGAUUGCUGGGGUUAUACCGGAAAUGCUUUUUUUCUUUGUUAAUUAUGUUCUUAUCUGCAGUUUAAUGUUAGCAUUCCUAUGAUACCUGGAGACACCUGUUCAGUGGAUUUCUUUCAACUUGACACUUAAAUCUGAUUUCACACAUCAGAUUAUUUAAUAUGAUACAGUUACCUAAGAGAAACAAUUAGAUGUAAUUUCAUAACUUGUUGGAAUAAAUUGUUACCUAGUGUAAAUACAGGA